rnacentral:lncRNA from 1 species
CCUCUCUUUCUCUCCCCUCGCCGUCUUAAUUGCAUUGUCAUUUUUUUUUUAAUAUAAGCAAAAAAAAAAAGUGCUCGUAGUCGUUAAGAAAGGAAAUUCCUGUCUUCAUUAAUGUAAAGAACUCUCAAUUAAUGAUGAUUAAGUCGGAGAUAAUCGGGAAACGUGGCUUUUAAAUCAAAUAUUCGUUCACGCACAGUGUGCAGCGCGGUAGCAGGAACUCGACUAUGCCCUUCAUGCUACGUUUCAGCAUUGAAAGAGUUUAUAGAGAGUUUGGUGUCAAUGCUCCUAAUUGAAUAACGCAGAAAGCACUUUACAGGGUAACAGUUUAAACAGAACGGUUGUACGUAUUUUUAUUAUUAUUUUUCCUCCCCUUUUAAUGCACACUUUGUAUUUUUUCUUUCCACGAAAACUCCGAUAGUCAAAAUGACUCAUUCGAUUGUGUCUCGAUUAGUAUUGUCGAUUGUCAAUGAUCCGUAAUAAUGCUGAUCAAUUAUUGACUAUUAUUGGUGUGGCGUGAUGUUUAAUGUCACACCUGCACACAAACCAGCGUCGACAUGACUGGGUUAAAUCAAUGGAAACGAGAUACCAGUAAUGGGUUGCCAUUUUGCAAGUAGCCGAGAUAACGAUCGGUUUGGUCAUUGUCUGCUUUCUGGCCAUAGAUUUAUUGCAAAAUCGGAUGCUGACGUUGCGAUAAAUCCUCGUACUUCUCCAACUAAUUUGCCUCCUUUGCUAAAUACACGCGAACGACCUGGAAAAAAUAAAAAUAAUAAUAAAUGCGUAGGCGAGAGUCGGAUCGAUGUGGCCAUUCAAUGUGACCUCUUCAAGUAAUAUCGAUGCAUUCCACUUUCGAUCCGAAACCAACAGGGCGGCGUAGAACAAUAAAAACCACGAAAAUCUUAGAAAAACCUGACCGAAAGUACGGUUCUAAAUAAUAAACAGAAAGGAUUUAGUCAAAUGCGAAUCGAUCAGAGUGGCGAAAAAUCGCCAUUUUUAAUACCCUCGCUACAAUAUUUAAGAAUAAUUCCGAUAAGAUAGCUGGCGUAUGUAGUUUAUUUUCGCUUCAAUUCUCUGUCUCUCUCUUAUCUUCCUGCUUUUAUUUGAGUUUCAGAUUAUAAGAACCUUAUAGCCAUUCUACAAACAGCGAGCCCCCAAUAAAGAGAAUGCGUGUUAUUCUAUUUGAUGCAAUAAAUGUAAGUGGAUCUCAUAAAUCGCCACUAAAUCAAGUAGGAAUGGGAUGUAUUUAUUUUUCCUUUUUUUCUCUCUCUCUCUCUCGUUACGGUUAAAAUAAUUCGUUUUGCAGACAUUGCA